rnacentral:misc_RNA from 1 species
CGCGGAGGAGGACCAACGUUGAAUUUUGCGACUGCCUCAGACUUUUCACAUUGAGAAGCUCAAUUUUUCCCCUUCACCAGAAUCGUUAAAAUCUGCUCGGUGAUGUCCUAUCGGCGCAAGGCCCCGGCAUCCAAGACCUUGACACCGAGUCAACAGCUUGGUAAAUUGUGUAACGCCCGGUCCGGCAAUUUGGUGUUUCAAAGUCACAACGCAAUUGCCCUGUUGGCUCAGCUACAUAAGCUUGACCGAGCCUAUUAUGACCAAUUUGCAAAGAACGCUACAGUGCAGCGCUUCGUGCCUGCAUGGGCGGUGCGUACAUCACAGGAAGGUGGCACCCCAACGCGCUACACACUCCCCCUUCCAUCUCACUUUAUCAACACAGGUGAAUCGGCCGACGAUUUCGAGCCUCGUGCGUUUUUUCUUGAGAAGGCACUGUCUGCGGAUAUGGGCAUAGAUGGGAAGGUGCCUGCCUUUCCCCGCUGCGGACGUAGUGGCUUAUUUUUUGCGCGCGAGGAAGUUGUCGAUAAUCUUCAGGCUGCUGCGGCGGAUCUUAAGUUUUCCUCUCCGUUUUGGCUUCACAAGAACCACCCAGGCCUAGAAUCGGGCUACCUUCAGCUAAAGGAGGGAAACGAAGCUAUUGUCAUCAGUCUUACGGCUAGUAUCAUCGGGCUCGGUGACGUGGAGACUGUCGAGGCGGCUAAGUUAUACCCAUUGCUUCGCAAAGAAAUCAAAAGUGAUGUCAACUCUGCCAGUGGUUUCUCCGUCUCAGAUGAGAUUCCGCUGGGAAUGAAUGCGCUGACCGGUGCCGUCACCAAAAAUCCGUUUGUGUGUAGUUUGCCGAAUCGAGGACUCUGGCUCUCGCAGGAUCAGCUGCUGCAUCACAACAUCAGGUUGUCGCGGCGCAUCACACAGGCUGCUAGGGCUUUCACGUUGGUCGAAAUAGACCAGUGGGAGCUCUUCAAUGCAGACCAGCUCCAGGUUCCAGGGAGAUUGGGCUUGCGACAGAGUCUCAAUUUGGCACCCAAUGAAACGGUUUUUCAACCAGUGUAGGCGCAGUGGACGACUGUGCCCUGAACAGAAGAGAUCGUGCAACAGCUAAAGCCACGUAAGUCUUCACGCAAUGCAAGCAAGCGCAUUUGUUCUUUGAUUUGGACUGACCGCAGAUGCAGAUAUCGUGGGGCUCAGCAUCGUAUUUUCGUACAAGGCAACUGCUCUGAUUCCAGAUUUAGGUUUGUGUUGUUCUCAUCCACCUGCUCGUAAUCGUCUUCUCACAGCUUUUUGUUUUCCCCUGAGCCCACGUCGCCAGCAGCUACGACGUGCAAGUGUGUAUGCUCGUGAUCAUACCCGCAAAGGAGCGUGUGAGGAUAGAUUCACCAUAUACGCCACAGCAUAGAAUGUUUCAUCGUCCACAUAUUGAGUUUCUUAGAGACUUCCUUAGCGCAGAAAUCAGUGAAGUGUAGGCUCACUGGUUGAGUCAGUGAAGUCGUCAUACAGUGUGAGUGUGGCGAGUUGCCGACGUGCUGAAUAGCCUACAUCUUCCUCGUCCUCCGGUCCAGCGUGCUCGUCGCUUUGUCCGGCAACAACAAUUGCUCGAGUGUCCUCCGCCGUCUCGAGAGCUCGGCUGUUGUGCGUUCCAUAACCCUGUGCCGACCUCAGCGUUUCUUUAACCAAUCGUACUCCUUUGGUUUCCCUUUCUGGUGCUUUUUUCUUGAAAACCGGCGUGACUGUGCGAGGCAUUCCUGAGCGUAG